rnacentral:lncRNA from 10 species
CUAUGAUCUACAGUGCCCAUUCCAACUCAGAGAAUCUUUACAUCUGGAGAUCUAUAGCAGGGCUAUCCCUAGUGACAUGCGUGAAGAAGCUUGGAAAUGGUGCUGGGUAGGAGCUGAGUGUGCAGAAUGUGGAAAGGCAUUCUAAACCAAAGGAAGAACACGAGUAAAGAUGAUGAAGCAGGGAUAAGGCUAAAAUGAAAUUUGUGAUCUGAUCCACAUACAAGCACAGUGUAGUACAGCUGGAAUAUAGAGAAGAGCUUGAAGACUUAUGAGCAACUAUCCCGGUACUCUUGGAGGCUCUGCAACCACAGUUUGAGAAACUCCGCGUUCAAAGUUAAAAACUGUCACCUGAAUAGUUAAUAACAUCAAAGAUUGUGAAAGCAAGUAUAAAUAACACAGAGAUUAAAAUAAUGAGGCAGGAUCAGAAACACUGACCUGCUGUGUAAGAAGUCCAACUGCCCUGAGGCCACCAGGCUGGAGAGACCAUGUAUGGAUAGGUUCUCUGAUCAACAGUUUCUAUCAAGCCCAGCCUUCUAGCCAUCAAGCCCAGCCUUCUAGCCAUGUCCACCAAUGUGCCUGACAUGUGAGUGAAGCCAUCACAGACCCUUCAGACCAGCCCACCUGCCAGCUGAAUACUUGGGUUAUGGUGGCCAUCCAGACAUAAAGAAAUUAGAACGUUCAUUCAUCUGCAGAUGCUCACACAUUCCUACAGGAUGACUGAAACCCACAGCAAACAA